GAUGAACGCUGGCGGCGUGCCUCAAACAUGCAAGUCGAGCGGGGCUAUGUAAUAUCGCAAGGUAGAACAUAGCCUAGCGGCGAACGGGUGAGUAACACGUGGGUAACCUGCCUGGAAGACAGGGAUAACGAUUCGAAAGGGUCGCUAAUACCUGAUAAUAUCCUUUCAUCGCAUGGUGAUAGGAAGAAAGGGGAAACCCGCUUUCAGAUGGGCCCGCGUCCCAUCAGCUAGUUGGUAAGGUAAAGGCUUACCAAGGCGACGACGGGUAGCCGGUCUGAGAGGAUGUACGGCCACACUGGGACUGAGAUACGGCCCAGACUCCUACGGGAGGCAGCAGUUGGGAAUCUUAGGCAAUGGACGAAAGUCUGACCUAGCGACGCCGCGUGAGGGAAGAAGGCCUUGGGUUGUAAACCUCUGUCAUGGGGAAGAAGUAAGUGACGGUACCCCAAGAGGAAGCCCCUGCUAACUACGUG
rnacentral:rRNA from 1 species